AGUUAAACUCUGUGUAUUAUCUAGAGGCUUUGUAGACCUAAUGUACAGUCAAGGUGGUGUUUUGUUAAUAGACGUGAUGGCUCCAACGGCCUAAUAUUGUAUAUAUAUAUAUAUGUGUGCUCGAGCUUAUACAGGUGAUUAUUUCCUUUUAUAUGCGACAUGAUGCUGUCCGAAUUUUGGGUUGUCAUAGAGGUAUGCACGGGA
rnacentral:lncRNA from 1 species